GUCGAGCGGACCUUUUAAAAGCUUGCUUUUGAAAGGUCAGCGGCGGACGGGUGAGUAACACGUGGGCAACCUGCCUGUAAGACUGGGAUAACUUCGGGAAACCGGAGCUAAUACCGGAUAAUAUAAGGAACCUCCUGGUUCUUUAUUGAAAGAUGGUUUCGGCUAUCACUUACAGAUGGGCCCGCGGCGCAUUAGCUAGUUGGUGAGGUAACGGCUCACCAAGGCGACGAUGCGUAGCCGACCUGAGAGGGUGAUCGGCCACACUGGGACUGAGACACGGCCCAGACUCCUACGGGAGGCAGCAGUAGGGAAUCUUCCACAAUGGACGAAAGUCUGAUGGAGCAACGCCGCGUGAGCGAUGAAGGCCUUCGGGUCGUAAAGCUCUGUUGUUAGGGAAGAACAAGUGCGAGAGUAACUGCUCGCACCUUGACGGUACCUAACCAGAAAGCCACGGCUAACUACGUGCCAGCAGCCGCGGUAAUACGUAGGUGGCAAGCGUUGUCCGGAAUUAUUGGGCGUAAAGCGCGCGCAGGUGGUCCUUUAAGUCUGAUGUGAAAGCCCACGGCUCAACCGUGGAGGGUCAUUGGAAACUGGGGGACUUGAGUGCAGAAGAGGAAAGUGGAAUUCCAAGUGUAGCGGUGAAAUGCGUAGAGAUUUGGAGGAACACCAGUGGCGAAGGCGACUUUCUGGUCUGUAACUGACACUGAGGCGCGAAAGCGUGGGGAGCAAACAGGAUUAGAUACCCUGGUAGUCCACGCCGUAAACGAUGAG
rnacentral:rRNA from 2 species